GCCAAGGAGUAGGUCCUCAGGAGAAAGAAAACCUGCCAACACCUUGAUCUUGGACUUCCAGCCCCCAGAUCUGUGAGAAAAUUUUUAUUGCAGCUGAAUGGAUGUGGCUACUCCUGUUCUUCUGGUGCAGAGUUGACUAGGUCAAAGUUCAGAAGUGAGUAUGAACCAACGCAAAGGUGACUGAAUAGAGAUAAAAUUUGGAAGAAGGUUAAGCUGAGCUUUUAGCAUCAUAUUGAGGAGAGGCAGAGGGAGUUCUGAAGCAGAUACACAAAGAAGAAGAUUACAUAGAGACAAAUGUGAAGAGAGCAGAGACAGAGGUAACACGAGCCAAGGAAUGACAAUAAUCACUAGAAGCUGGAAGAGACAGGGAACAAAAUCUCUCUUAGAGCCUCUGGAGGG
rnacentral:lncRNA from 1 species